GAUGAAGAACGUAGCGAAAUGCGAUAAGUAGUGUGAAUUGCAGAAUUCAGUGAAUCAUCGAAUCUUUGAACGCACAUUGCGCCCCUUGGUAUCCCGAGGGGCAUGCCUGUUCGAGCGUCAUUUCACCACUCAAGCCUAGCUUGGUGUUGGGCGACGUCCCCUUUGGGGACGCGCCUCGAAACGCUCGGCGGCGUGGCACCGGCUUUAAGCGUAGCAGAAUCUUUCGCUUUGGAAGUCGGGGCCCCGUCUGCCGGAAGACCUACUCGCAAGGUUGACCUCGGAUCAGGCAGGGAUACCCGCUGAACUUAAGCAUAUCAAUAAGCGGAGGA
rnacentral:misc_RNA from 1 species